UACGUAGGGUGCGAGCGUUGUCCGGAAUUACUGGGCGUAAAGAGCUCGUAGGUGGUUUGUCGCGUUGUUCGUGAAAUCUCACGGCUUAACUGUGAGCGUGCGGGCGAUACGGGCAGACUAGAGUACUGCAGGGGAGACUGGAAUUCCUGGUGUAGCGGUGGAAUGCGCAGAUAUCAGGAGGAACACCGGUGGCGAAGGCGGGUCUCUGGGCAGUAACUGACGCUGAGGAGCGAAAGCGUGGGGAGCGAACAGGAUUAGAUACCCUGGUAGUCCACGCCGUAAACGGUGGGUACUAGGUGUGGGUUUCCUUCCUUGGGAUCCGUGCCGUAGCUAACGCAUUAAGUACCCCGCCUGGGGAGUACGGCCGCAAGGCUAAAACUCAAAGGAGUUGACGG
rnacentral:rRNA from 1 species